ensembl:lncRNA
AUAUUAUAUUAUAUUAUAUUAUAUUAUAUUAUAUUAUAUUAUAUUAUAUUAUAUUAUAUUAUAUUAUUGUACGACUUAUACUAGGCCUAUUAUAUGAUUGUACUAUUUACUACUCACUAUUCACUAUUUAUUUAGUGUUUUUAUUUUAUUGACUAUAUUAUUUUACAAUUUAUGUAAUUUAUGUAUGUGUGUAUACAAUUUAAUAUUUUAUUCAGUAAUUAUAUUACUACCAUUUUAUACUCAUACUCACUUUUAUUUUUAGGCUAUUCAUAAUAAUAAUAAUAAUCUGUAGAAUAAAACUCCCAUAUACUGUAUAUUGAACUUUAACAUUUAACCUUUAACCUUAUAGUACACUUAAAUUCAUAAAUUUAAGCUGUAUUGUAGUUGUGAUGCAAAUGUUUUACUGCUGUAACAUAAUUGUUUACUGGAUCCAUUAAGGAUGAUCCUGUAAAUAGGGGUUCAAGAUGUGCUAUUAACGUUGCCCACUAGAGGGAGCCACAGGAUGAGGAAUAUUUCAAACCCAAUCAUUUUCUAUCUGUUUCCAUUCAUUUGAAUUGAAAUAAAUGCAUUUGGUUGAUUUGUAUAACUAUGGUGUACUGACAGUAAAUCUGUGAAAUGCUUAUAGAUCAGUAAAUGUUUUUCAGACCUCGGUAAAACACAUUUUCAAGUUGCCAGACAAUUAUUUAUAUUUUUGUAAUUUAAUGAAAUUGUUUUUUAGUUAAUAUUUUAUACUAUAAUAAAACAUUUCUAUAAAGACAAUUAUUGUUAAUAAAACAAAUAUUAUACAAACAAUAUAAGCAUAAGGCUAGGAGGCAACACAUAUAGAAAUGAAUUGUAAAAAUGAAAAGGUAAAGAUAAAUGCAUCAGCAAAUUAUUUUCACGUUCAUCUGAAAUUGCCCUGUGACAUCCUAUGAUGUGAUUUAAAAAAAAAAAAAAAAGCUAAAAUGAAGAAAGAAAAAAAACAUUUCCACAAUGUAAAACAUUGGGCAUAUUUCAAGUAUAUUACAUUAUAUUACAUUAAGGACGUCUCCACAAUUAUUAACCAAGAAAAACAAACCAUUUCUAUGCUUGACAAGUGUGAUUCUACACAAUUCCUUAUGACAAUGAAUACCUUACAAUGAAUGAAUAAGUUCUAACUAGCGAGAUUCUGAGUAAUUAGAAACAGAAACUUUUUCAUACACCACGCAGAUCAAAAGCCGUUGAAAUCGGUUGAUAAAUGUAAACUUUACUUCACUUUUUGUCCACAAAAGCUGCAGAUCCCUGUUUACUUGUAUUUGUUUACAGUGCAGUCUUGGCCGGACCAAUUUUGCUGACUUGUUGAUGUUUCGCAGCAAUGGUCCAAAGCGGCCAAUGAGGCGUCUACAAAUUUUAUAUGUCUAUGGGCAGAAUUUCAUAUACACUUCUCCCAGAGGAGCGGAUAAUGCACCUUAAUGUUGGUGCUACCCGCCAUUAAACCAAAGAAGAAGAGCGUGCGCACACAUCAACUAGCAGCCCAUGCUUCAUUCGUGUUACGGAAGUCAUCGGCAGGCAAUGCUGCACAGGACUUGCUUGAGAAGAAUGUCUCCAAAGAAGUGUGUUUUUGGAUGUGAGGGAAAGAUAACCUUAUUUAGCUUCCCGAAGAACCCAGCGUUACAUGAACCGUGGAUACAGUUUGUUUUUCUGGGACAGCAAUGGAGUUUCGCAAGUGUGUUUGUUUGUUCCUGUCAUUUCAAGGCCAAGUUGAUUUGAUGCUGGAUCUGUUUGAUACUGAAUAAUGGCGAUGAAAGAUCCCUGUCAUGAGUCGGAACCGCAAGCGGUGAGUAAAACUAAAGACUAUAGAAUACCCAAGACAUGUCACUCAUAUAGUUUUGAAUGGGGAAAAAUGCAACACUCAAUAUGGUUACUCAGUCGCAGGAAGCCUGUGUUUUACUCACCCUUGAGGCAUCCUAGGUGUAUAUGGCUUUCUUCUUUCAGACAAAUCCAGUCAAAGUUAUAUUAAAAAUUUGUCCUGGCUAUUACAAGCUCUAUCAUUGCAGCCAGCCAGUUUUGCAGUUGAACAGUCCACAAGUCGUCAAAAUAAAGCACGUGCAUCCAUAAUAAAACGUGCCUCACACGGCUCUGGGGGUGAAUAAAGGCCUUCUGUACCGAAUCCAUGUGUUUUUGUAAGACAAAUAUCCAUAUUUCAAACGUAAUAAACACUUUUCGCUCAUGUCCGGUAUCUCAUACGCGGAAGCAGUGAUAAGUGACAAAUGCAGAGAGAAGACAAAACAAAAAUGCCAGUCACAAAUUAGAAGUACAAACCGAGGAUUUGUAAAGAAAAAUGUUAGAGGAUUUCGAUAUAAACCCAGCGGAGACUGGUUGUCCUGUGCUAAAGUAAGGAAACUUUGCUUCCUUUGCUCUUAUAAACUAACUCGCGAGACUAGCAUAUCUCAGAGGUAUGCUGGAAUAGCCAGGACAAUUUUCAAUAUAACUCCUACUGAAUUCGUCUGAAAGAAGAAAGUCAUAUACACCUAGGAUGCAUCGAGGGUGAGUAAAACACAAUUUUCAUUUUUGGGUGAACUACCCCUUUAAUUAGUAUAAUCAUUGCUUAAAUGAUGCCUGAUAUUCAUAAAACAUGCAUGUCUAUAGACAGUGAAAAACAUCACUUUGACCUUCACAGAGACAGGAAGAGACAGGUGCCUGUGGCGUUGUGGUUGGACACACCCACGGAGUGGACUCUGUUAGGCCGAAAGAAAAGGUCACAGAAAUGUCAUGCAGUCAUGUCCUUGUAAGUUUGAUCAGACUGCUGCUUGGUUUCUUCCUGCUGUACUUUUCAACAUCCGUAAUAACACCACACCAAGCUUUUGAUCUGUGUUGCUUUAAAUGUUAGCUGUGAUGACUCCGCUAACAACCGUUGUGUUCAAUUUGCAUUGAAAUUAAGCAUUUCAAAUAAUUUUUUUGAUGUUCAUUCAACGUUAUUUCAUGCAACUGAUGCAACUGGAAAAAACUCCCUCACUUUACUUUACUUUACAGAAGGCAAGAAAUACAAGAGGAAACUUGACAAUCACAUGCUUGGAAGUCAAUUGACCCUUCGCAAAGACCCGCCCC